GCCCAGGUGGUGAAACUGGUAGACGCAGGGGACUCAAAAUCCCCCGCCGCAAGGCGUGCCGGUUCGAUUCCGGCCCUGGGCACCA
rnacentral:tRNA from 13 species